rnacentral:rRNA from 1 species
UACGUAGGGGGCAAGCGUUGUUCGGAAUUACUGGGCGUAAAGGGCGCGUAGGCGGCACGGCAAGUCAGGAGUGAAAGCCCUGGGCUCAACCCGGGAACUGCUUUUGAAACUGCCGAGCUAGAGUGCGGAAGGGGCAACUGGAAUUCCCAGUGUAGCGGUGGAAUGCGUAGAGAUCCGGAAGAACACCGGUGGCGAAGGCGGCCUGCUGGGCAGUUGCUGACACUGAGGCGCGACAGCGUGGGGAGCAAACAGG